AUUAAUUUUAUUUUUAUUAAAAAAUUUAAUUAAAUAAAAUUUUACAUAUAAAAAUCUUUAAAAUAAAAUAAAUUUUAAAUAAAUUUUAUAUUUUUAUUUAUUAAUUUUAUAGUAGUAAUUAAUAUUAUUAUUUUAAUUAAUGUUAAAUUUUAGUUAUUAUUUAAAAAUAUUGGUUAAAUUUGUGCCAGCAAUCGCGGUUAUACAAAUAUUAUAAUUAAAUUUAAUUUAAUUUAAGUUAAAAUUUUAAAAAAUUUUUUAAUUUUAUUAUUGAGAUAUAAAAUAAAAAAUAAAUUUUUAAGUGAAAUUUAAAUUUUAUUAAAUUUUUAUAUUAAAAAUUUUUGAAUCUUUUAAAAUUUAAUAAUAAACUAGGAUUAGAUACCCUAUUAUUUAAAUUGUAAAAUUUAAGAAAAUUAAGGUAGUAUUAAUUAAUUUUUUGAAACUUAAAAAAUUUGGCGGUAUUUUAAUCUGUUUAGAGGAAUUUGUUCUGUAAUUGAUAAUCCACAAAUAUCUUACUUUCAUUAGUUUUAAUUUAUAUAUCGUUGUCAUCAGAAUAUUUUAUAAGAAUAAAAAAUUUUCUAAAUUUUUAAUUAAAAAUUAUGUCAAAUCAAGGUAUAGUUUAUGUGAAAGUAGAAAUGAAUUACAAUAAAAAUUAUUUAAACGGAUAAUUGACUGAAAAUGUUAAUUUAAAGGUGGAUUUAAAAGUAAAUUAAUUUAUAAAAAUUAAUUGAUUAAAGUUUUAAAAUAUGCACAUAUCGCCCGUCGCUCUCGUUAUAUGGUAAAAAUUUUAAAUGAGAUAAGUCGUAACAUAGUAGAAGUAUCGGAAGAUGUUUCUAGAAAUA
rnacentral:ncRNA from 1 species